rnacentral:tRNA from 1 species
UCCCUGGUGGCUCAGAUGGUAAAGCAUCUGCCUGCAAUGCAGGAGACCCGGGUUCGAACCCUGGUUGGGAAG